UACGUAGGGUGCGAGCGUUGUCCGGAAUUAUUGGGCGUAAAGAGCUCGUAGGCGGUUUGUUGCGUCUAUCGUGAAAACCUGCAGCUUAACUGUGGGCUUGCGGUGGAUACGGGCAGACUUGAGUUCGGUAGGGGAGACUGGAAUUCCUGGUGUAGCGGUGAAAUGCGCAGAUAUCAGGAGGAACACCGGUGGCGAAGGCGGUUCUCUGGGCCUGUACUGACGCUGAGGAGCGAAAGCGUGGGGAGCGAACAGG
rnacentral:rRNA from 1 species